rnacentral:lncRNA from 1 species
AUAAAAGAUACAAAAAAGUCUCCACAUACUUAUCACUCUAUGUUGCCUUUACUUUUCUCUAUCUCAUCAGGAGUCAACAAAGGAAACUGCUGUUUUCCAGAUGGAGUACCCAAUCUAUUCCCAAGCCAUACUUCUCACAAAUGGAAUGAUGACAAAAACAUAGAGGAUGCUAUUACUGGAAUUGAAAUAUACUCAGGUAUCCCAUUUUAGGAAGCUGAUGCUGUUGGUAAGAAAUGAAAUUAAAGAAAGAAAUUAAGGUAAGGAGCAAGUAAAUGUGGAAGAUGAGGUAAAGAAUAUAGACAUUUUAUGUAGGUGAAGAAAUUAAUGAGGCAAGAGUAUACUCUCC